UUCCCAGACUCCUACGGGAGGCAGCAGUGAGGAAUAUUGGUCAAUGGGCGGGAGCCUGAACCAGCCAAGUCGCGUGAGGGAAGACGGUCCUACGGCUUGUAAACCUCUUUUGCCGGGGAGCAACGGGGUCCUUGCGAGGGUCCGAUGAGAGUACCCGGAGAAAAAGCAUCGGCUAACUCCGUGCCAGCAGCCGCGGUAAUACGGAGGAUGCGAGCGUUAUCCGGAUUUAUUGGGUUUAAAGGGUGCGUAGGCGGCGCUUCAGGUCAGCGGUGAAAUACCGGGGCUCAACCCCGGGGCUGCCGUUGAAACCGGAGCGCUAGAAUUCCGAUGCCGUCGGAGGAAUGUGUGGUGUAGCGGUGAAAUGCAUAGAUAUCGCGCAGAACUCCGAUUGCGAAGGCAGCAUGCCGGCUCCACACUGACGCUGAGGCACGAAAGCGUGGGUAUCGAACAGGAUUAGAUACCCCAGUACCU
rnacentral:rRNA from 1 species